UGAACGCUAGCGGCAGGCCUAACACAUGCAAGUCGAGGGGUAGUUACUUUCGGGUAAUGAGACCGGCGCACGGGUGCGUAACGCGUAUGCAAUCUACCUUUUACAGGGGAAUAGCCCAGAGAAAUUUGGAUUAAUGCCCCAUAGUAUAUAACAUUCGCAUGUUUGUUAUAUUAAAGUUCCAACGGUAAAAGAUGAGCAUGCGUCCCAUUAGUUAGUUGGUAAGGUAACGGCUUACCAAGACUAUGAUGGGUAGGGGUCCUGAGAGGGAGAUCCCCCACACUGGUACUGAGACACGGACCAGACUCCUACGGGAGGCAGCAGUGAGGAAUAUUGGACAAUGGGCGCAAGCCUGAUCCAGCCAUGCCGCGUGCAGGAAGAAGCAUCUAUGGUGUGUAAACUGCUUUUGUACAGGAAGAAACACUCCCUCGUGAGGGAGCUUGACGGUACUGUAAGAAUAAGGAUCGGCUAACUCCGUGCCAGCAGCCGCGGUAAUACGGAGGAUCCAAGCGUUAUCCGGAAUCAUUGGGUUUAAAGGGUCCGUAGGCGGUUUGAUAAGUCAGUGGUGAAAGCCCAUCGCUCAACGAUGGAACGGCCAUUGAUACUGUCAGACUUGAAUUACUAGGAAGUAACUAGAAUAUGUAGUGUAGCGGUGAAAUGCUUAGAUAUUACAUGGAAUACCAAUUGCGAAGGCAGGUUACUACUAGUGGAUUGACGCUGAUGGACGAAAGCGUGGGGAGCGAACAGGAUUAGAUACCCUGGUAGUCCACGCCGUAAACGAUGGAUACUAGCUGUUGGGUGCAAACUCAGUGGCUAAGCGAAAGUGAUAAGUAUCCCACCUGGGGAGUACGUUCGC
rnacentral:rRNA from 1 species